rnacentral:pre_miRNA from 1 species
UAAAAUAUUUUGACUCUUCGUCUUAUUCGAAUUUUUUUAGCGAUUAAUAUGUUUAUUGUUACUAGAUGAUAAAAUAUAAAUAGUACUUUAUGCUUGACUAAUUUUUUUAAGGUUUUGUGCAAUUUUUUAAAUAAGACGAAUAAUCAAACGUUGGACAUGGAAA